GUGUAACCUGCCCCCGACUCUGGGAUAAGCCUGGGAACUGGGUCUAAUACCGGAUAUGACCUCCUACCGCAUGGUGGGUGGUGGAAAUAUUUAUCGGUGGGGGAUGGACUCGCGCCCUAUCAUCUUGUUGGUGAGGUAAUGGCUCACCAAGGCGACGACGGGUAGCCGGCCUGAGAGGGUGACCGGCCACACUGGGACUGAGACACGGCCCAGACUCUCCCGCACAUUGGGAUGACGGCCUUCGGGUUGUAAACCUCUUUCAGUAGGGAAGAAGCGAAAGUGACGGUACCUGCAGAAGAAGCGCCGGCUAACUACGUGCCAGCAGCCGCGGUAAUACGUAGGGCGCAAGCGUUAUCCGGAUUUAUUGGGCGUAAAGAGCUCGUAGGCGGUUUGUCGCGUCUGCCGUGAAAGUCCGAGGCUCAACCUCGGAUCUGCGGUGGGUACGGGCAGACUAGAGUGAUGUAGGGGAGACUGGAAUUCCUGGUGUAGCGGUGAAAUGCGCAGAUAUCAGGAGGAACACCGAUGGCGAAGGCAGGUCUCUGGGCAUUUACUGACGCUGAGGAGCGAAAGCAUGAGGAGCGAACAGGAUUAGAUACCCUGGUAGUCCAUGCCGUAAACGUUGGGCACUAGGUGUGGGGGACAUUCCACGUUCUCCGCGCCGUAGCUAACGCAUUAAGUGCCCCGCCUGGGGAGUACGGCCGCAAGGCUAAAACUCAAAGGAAUUGACGGGGGCCCGCACAAGCGGCGGAGCAUGCGGAUUAAUUCGAUGCAACGCGAAGAACCUUACCAAGGCUUGACAUGUGCCAGACCGCUCCAGAGAUGGGGUUUCCCUUCGGGGCUGGUUCACAGGUGGUGCAUGGUUGUCGUCAGCUCGUGUCGUGAGAUGUUGGGUUAAGUCCCGCAACGAGCGCAACCCUCGUUCCAUGUUGCCAGCACGUAGUGGUGGGGACUCAUGGGAGACUGCCGGGGUCAACUCGGAGGAAGGUGGGGAUGACGUCAAAUCAUCAUGCCCCUUAUGUCUUGGGCUUCACGCAUGCUACAAUGGCCGGUACAAUGGGUUGCGAUACUUCAGUUCGGAUUGGGGUCUGCAACUGGACCCCUUGAAGUGGGAGUCGCUAGUAAUAGCAGAUCAGCAACGGUGCGGUGAAUACGUUCCCGGGCCUUGUACACACCGCCCGUCAAGUCACGAAAGUUGGUAACACCCGAAGCCGAUUGCCUAACCACCUUGUGUGGGGGGCAGUCGUCNCAAGCGUGGGGCAUCUGGGGCUGAUUGGGGUA
rnacentral:rRNA from 1 species